CCAGCAAGUUUAAAUACAACAAUAUAAGGAUAUAUCAUGAUUGAAGAGUAUGAAUAAUAAGCUGGCUAUAAUUCAUCAAUAUAAUUGAGAACUAGCAGGAACAAACUUUUGACUGAACAAGUUUUAAACAUGAACAAACAUUUCUGAACCAACUGGUAAUGAAGGUGAUCAGCCUUUCAUACCUGACUUAUACAUGCAAGAUGUACAAAGUACAAUUUUCAUGGCAAUCAUUAAUGAUUAACCAUAAGCUUGAAUAAAACACUCUUAUUAGAGUUAAGUA
rnacentral:lncRNA from 1 species